AUGUGUAAGUAGAGUUGAUAUAAAGCGAAACUGCGAACGGCUCAUUACAACAGAUAUAAUUUACUUGUUCUAUUCCUUUAAACGGAUAACUGCGGUAAUUCUGGAGCCAAUACGUGCUAAUAAGUAUUUUUCAGCAAUGAGAAGUAUGCACUUAUCGGAGCAAAACUAAUCUUGUUUUAUGCUAACUCUGGGUAACACUGCUUAUCGCACGACUUUACGUCGGCGAAAUUACAUUCAAGUAUCUGCCUUAUCAACUUUCGAUGGUAGUGUAUUGGACUGCCAUGGUGUUGACGGGUAACGGAGAAUCAGGGUUCGACUCCGGAGAGGGAGCCUUAGAAACGGCUACCAUGUCUAAGGACAGCAGCAGGCGCGCAACUUAUCCACUGUUCAUUGAACGAGAUAGUGACGAGAAAUAACAAGUCCGUUCUCUUUGAGGUCGGACAUUGGAAUAGAUGAAAUCUAAACAAUUUCAUGAGUACCUACGAGAGGGCAAGUCUGGUGCCAGCAGCCGCGGUAAUUCCAGCUCUCGUAAUGUAUAGAAUUAUUGUUGCGGUUAAAAAGUUCGUAGUUGGAUUUUCUACUGUUCGGGGGGUCGGCUCUAACGAGACGUACUUCUGGCAGUGUUUGCAUUCGAUUUGGAAGCAAUUUCAAAUUGGAUGCGGAUUACUUUGAACGGCUUAAGUGCUCAAGGCGAGUCUUCGGACUGAAUACCGGUGCAUGGAAUAAUGGAACAAGGUUUCGGCCGAGUUUUAUUGGUUUUGUCGGCUAAAACAAUGGUUAACAGGAACAGCUGGGGGCACUCGUAUCGCUGCGCGAGAGGUGAAAUUCGUGGACCGCAGCGAGACGCCCUAAAGCGAAGGCAUUUGCCAAGAGUGUUUUCAUUAAUCAAGAACGAAAGUCAGAGGUUCGAAGGCGAUUAGAUACCGCCCUAGUUCUGACCGUAAACGAUGCCAACUAUCAAUCCGCCAGUAGCUUUUAGUUAUUGGCGGGAGGAUCGACGGAAACGAAAGUUUUUCGGUUCCGGGGGAAGUAUGGUUGCAAAGCUGAAACUUAAAGGAAUUGACGGAAGGGCACCACCAGGAGUGGAGCUUGCGGCUUAAUUUGACUCAACACGGGAAACCUCACCCGGCCAGUACAUCAUAAGGAUUGACAGAUUGAAAGCUCUUUCAUGAUUUGAUGAAUGGUGGUGCAUGGCCGUUCUUAGUUCGUGGUGUGAACUGUCUGCUUAAUUGCGAUAACGAGCGAGACUCCGACUGUUAAAUAGUGAAUGGUUUAUUACUGACCAUUACACUUCUUAACGGGAUUCGCAACUUCAAGUUGCAAGAAAUGGAGCAAUAACAGGUCUGUGAUGCCCUUAGAUGUUCGGGGCGGCACGCGUGCUACAAUGAUGGUAACAGCGUGAUUGUCCUCGCCCGACAGGGCUUGGCAAACAGUUGAGAUAUUAUUAUGGCUGGAAUUGAGUGUUGAAAUUUUCUCUCAUGAACGAGGAAUUCCAAGUAAAUGCGAGUCAUCAACUCGCAUUGAUUACGUCCCUGCCCUUUGUACACACCGCCCGUCGCUACCCGGGACUGAGUUAUUUCGAGAAAUCUACGGACUUUUUGUUGGGAAGCAAUUCUCUGCUUAAUGGAAAGUAAAUUAAUCGCAAUAAUUUGAACCGGGU
rnacentral:rRNA from 1 species